AGACCCAAUCAGACCUUGCCGGGCAAGGCAAUUUUGCAUUUUUAUUUAUAUAAUUUUCCUGAAAAUUUACAAAUUUUAGAUUCGAAUCCUGGAUCGGGUUUUGUUGUCGAGUCGGGUCAAAUUACGGGUCUUUAAGGUGAGGAGGAUACUGGUGUUUUUUCUCCUUUGAGCUAAAAAUGGGAGGGAAAGAGAGAGACAAUGGCGUCCACAGGAAUGGCGAAAUCGAAGGGGAGUUUAUGCCUCACACUCUGCAGAAAUCGAUCACACGCCAUGAGAAACGAAAUUCAUUUCUCACAUUUGCCUUUGAACCCAGAAGAAGAAGAAGACGAAGAAGAAGAAGCUAUCACGUCCAUGAAAUUCGAGCCUCGACGGUUUUGGUGUUAUACGAAUAUCGAAAUCACCGUCUUCUCUAAAAGCCUUAUAGCUCCGUCGAUAAGGGUUGCUGAAGUUUUACCCGUUUCUCAGAGCGAUUGCGGGAGUUACAGUACAUCCACAGGAAGAUCUACGGGAUGGCUGAAAACAUCAUAGUGGAUUCUCAUGUUUGGGUGGAAGACCCAGAAAGAGCAUGGAUUGAUGGGGUUGUACUUAAUGUCAAGGGAGAUGAAGCAGAGGUUAAAACCAAUGAUGGCAGAGAGAUUAUUGCUAACUUAUCAAAACUCUAUCCAAAAGACACUGAAGGUCCUUCAGAGGGAGUAGAGGAUAUGACUAGAUUAUCUUAUCUGCAUGAGCCUGCAGUUCUCGACAAUUUGGCAACCAGAUAUGAACUCAAUGAAAUUUAUACUUAUACAGGAUUCAUUCUUAUUGCUGUCAAUCCCUUUCAAGGACUCCCCCAUCUCUAUGAUGC